CAAUAGCGUAUAUUAAAGUUGUUGCAGUUAAAAAGCUCGUAGUUGGAUUUGUGGCGUACGGUGUGUUCCGGGCACUUGUUGUCUGAGUAACCUGCUGUUGCCAUCCUUGGGUGGAACCUGUGUGGCAUUAAGUUGUCGUGCAGGGGAUGCCCAUCAUUUACUGUGAAAAAAUUAGAGUGUUCAAAGCAGGCUUAUGCCGUUGAAUAUAUUAGCAUGGAAUAAUGAGAUAGGACUUUUUUGCUAUUUUGUUGGUUUGCGCAAAGAGGUAAUGAUUAAUAGGGACAGUUGGGGGUAUUCGUAUUCCAUUGUCAGAGGUGAAAUUCUUGGAUUUUUGGAAGACGAACUACUGCGAAAGCAUUUACCAAGGAUGUUUUCAUUAA
rnacentral:rRNA from 1 species